rnacentral:misc_RNA from 1 species
UAACAAGGUCUCCGUUGGUGAACCAGCGGAGGGAUCAUUACGAAUGGGUCCAAAGACUCUUAAAACCUACCGUGCUCCCCUACGUGGACAACAGGAAAGCCCUCCGGGGCAUAGGAAAUCUGAGAAGUUGAAGAACUGCGCCCCGGCGCAUGACUAAGACAAAAAAUUACAACCCAUAACAAUGGAUCUCUUGGCUCUGGCAUCGAUGAAGAACGCAGCGAAAUGCGAUAAUUAAUAUGAAUUGCAGAAUUCAGUGAAUCAUCGAGUUUUUGAACGCACAUUGCGCCCUCUGGCAUUCCGGAGGGCAUGUCCGACCGAGCGUCACUAGCACCGCUCGAGCCCGCCUCUCGGGGCGGAGGCUCGGUGUUGGGGACCCGCGGGGUGGGGCCGAUGGCCCCUGCCCCCCGCGGCCCUGAAAAGCAGUGGCGGCCCUCUAUGGCAAGCCCCCAGCGGAGUAGAACAUUACGUCUCGCUCGGGCGCCCUGGAAGGGACGGCCUUGAACGGGGGUUUAUCCCCCCAUUUUUUACCCGGUUGGCCUCGGGUCGGACAAGAUUACCCGCUGAACUUAAGC